rnacentral:misc_RNA from 1 species
UUGCUUUAAUUUAAUCAUAGACUUAGAAGACACGAUUGAUUCAGAAUUUGAUGGUUGGCUAUCGACGGACGCGGGCCAGAGGACGCCUGUGAAGCAAUCCUCCGGCGGUCGUGAGACGGAUCCGCCGAAGCAACAAAGGUUCAAUAAACAAAGGGUUGGGAGGUCGGGCCUAGAAGACCCUAACUCAUUAAUGAUCCUUCCGCAGGUUCACCUACGGAAA